rnacentral:rRNA from 1 species
CCUACGGGUGGCUGCAGUCGAGAAUCUUUCACAAUGGGGGCAACCCUGAUGGAGCGACGCCGCGUGGAGGAUAAGGUCUUCGGAUUGUAAACUCCUGUCAUGCGAGAACAAGGUUGCAGGGCUAACACCUUUGCAAAUUGAUGGUACCGCAAGAGGAAGAGACGGCUAACUCUGUGCCAGCAGCCGCGGUAAUACAGAGGUCUCAAGCGUUGUUCUAAAUCACGCGGAGUAAAGGUGGCAAGUCAGAUGUGAAAGCCCGGGGCUCAACCUCGGAAUUGCAUCCGAUACUGCCAUGCUGGAGUACUGAAGAGGUGACUAGAAUUCUAGGUGUAGCAGUGAAAUGCGUAGAUAUCUAGAGGAAUACCAACGGCGAAGGCAGGUCACUGGGCAGUUACUGACACUGAGGCACGAAGGCCAGGGGAGCAAACGGGAUUAGAUACCCCUGUAGUC